rnacentral:rRNA from 1 species
GACGAACGCUGGCGGCGUGCUUAACACAUGCAAGUCGAACGAUGAAGCAGAGCUUGCUCUGUGGAUUAGUGGCGAACGGGUGAGUAACACGUGAGUAACCUGCCCUGGACUCUGGGAUAACCCCGAGAAAUCGGAGCUAAUACCGGAUAGGACCUGGAACCGCAUGGUUUUGGGUGGAAAGUUUUUUCGGUCUGGGAUGG